rnacentral:rRNA from 1 species
CUGAAUUGGGGAUAACAUUACGAAAGCGAUGCUAAUACCGGAUAAUAUCAUGAAAUCAUAUGUUUUCAUGAUCAAAGGUGGUCUCUACAUGUAAACUACUGUUUGGAGAUGAGCCCGCGUACCAUUAGUUUGUUGGUAGGGUAAUGGCCUACCAAGGCUACGAUGGUUAGCUGGUCUGAGAGGAUGAUCAGCCACACUGGAACUGACACACGGUCCAG